AUCAUGGAGAAGCUGCCGACCUGGGCGCAGUUCUCGUAGCCAGUGAUACAGUCUCUCUCUGCAUGAUGGGAGGGAGUUGAAAGCAUUCAAGGUUUUACGUUCCCUGAGUAGGUUCAUUGCCCAUGGAAUAUUCAGGAACAGCAAAACGACGAGACGGACAGAACAAGUAAAUGGAGGGACAGGAGCACUGAGUGACCUUCCUGCGAGCGACAGGUGUCUUGGGUCGGCUACAGGAAGACAACAAUUGGGCUAGAAGGAUCACAGCUCUGCACACACCUGGUUAGCUCUGUCCUUGUCCUAUCGGAGAAGGAUGUCAAAGCAGAGACACUACAGACCCUCUUUUAGAUAGCCUCACAGAGUUGACCUGUCGUAACCUGACAAAACACCUUUUUUCCCUUCAUAGCAGUCUCGAGAAAAAGAGUUUUUCUUGUCAGCGUAACUAUUUAAAAUAGAGUGAUUCUGACAUUUUAAUUUUUAUUUAAUAAAUUGAAAAAGUUGUCAACAGUUCGACCUUGAUUUUGUCACACAAGUUCAUUUUAGCAACAAAAACAUUCUGGCACCAAAAUGAAAAGAAAAAAAAGAAAAAAAAAAGGUGCUUUGUCAGCUUACGGCAGAAUACAUGUACCAUGUAUCUCUCAUAUCACUCACUCCCAUCGAUCCCAUAAUGCCAUAAGUACUAAACAUGAGGCCAACACUUUUCACUGUAUUGAACUGAAAGGGAUGCAAAAUCCAAAAGUGCAGUAUAACAUGGAGAGCUCAAGUUCGUCGGAACCGACCUUCGUGGUUUAAGAGACCGUAGUUCGAGGGAUAUCUUACAAUUAAAAGGUAAAGAAGAAAAAAAAAAAAAACCAAAAAAAAAAAACCCCCACAAAAAAGCGGGACCGCAGGCACAGUUCAACAGAUGCGUGACUUCGAGUCUUCUGUGUUUGACCUAUCCGUGUUAUACUGUACAUCAUUCAACAAACAUUUACUUUUAACCCUGUUGAAUAACCAUACUAUCCGAGUCUGAGAAUCUAUAUCAUUAGACAGUUUGGUGAACAAUUCAACUGGUAUACUUUAGGACAAUUUCAUUUGGAAGCCACUGGCUUCCUGAUAAUAAAACAGCUAAAAUUGUGUUGAUAUCUUUACUGUGUAAAAAGU